rnacentral:misc_RNA from 1 species
GAACAUUUUACAUGUCAGACGCUUUGAUCAAUGGGCUCGCCGGAGCUGGCGGCGGGAUCAUCGCUCAGCUCAUCACGUAUCCUCUCCAAACUGUAAAUACUCGGCAACGGACCGUGAUCCGAAGAAAGAGAAGAGGAAGCUUAGUACUGUAGAGCAAAUAUGUCAGGUUGUAAAACACGAAGGAUGGGAACGAUUGUAUGGGGGAUUAGUGCCAUCUCUUGUAGGAACAGCUGCAUCUCAGGGUGUUUACU